GAUGAACGCUGGCGGUCUGCUUAACACAUGCAAGUCGAACGGAAUCCUUCGGGAUUUAGUGGCGGACGGGUGAGUAACACGUGAGAAUCUGCACUCAGGAUGGGGACAACAGCGGGAAACUGCUGCUAAUACCCAAUGUGCCGAAAGGUAAAAGAUUUAUCGCCUGAGAAUGAGCUCGCGGCCGAUUAGUUAGUUGGUGGGGUAAUGGCCUACCAAGACGGCGAUCGGUAGCUGGUCUGAGAGGAUGAGCAGCCACACUGGGACUGAGACACGGCCCAGACUCCUACGGGAGGCAGCAGUGGGGAAUUUUCCGCAAUGGGCGCAAGCCUGACGGAGCAAGACCGCGUGGGGGAGGAAGGCUCUUGGGUUGUAAACCCCUUUUCUCAGGGAAGAAGUUCUGACGGCACCUGAGGAAUCAGCCUCGGCUAACUCCGUGCCAGCCGCCGCCGUAAAAC
rnacentral:rRNA from 1 species